CGGUCUGANCUCAGAUCACGNAAGAUUUUAAAGUCGAACAGACUUAUUAUUUAAACUACUGCACCUAAAUUAAUAUCUUAAUCCAACAUCGAGGUCGUAAUCUUUUUUAUUAAUAUGAACUUUCCAAAAAAAUUACGCUGUUAUCCCUAAAGUAACUUAAAUUUUUAAUCAAUAAUAAUGGAUCAAGUAACCAAAAAUAAUUGUAAUUAUAAAUUAAAAGUUAUAUAAAUUUUAAUAUCACCCCAAUAAAAUAAUACAAAUUAUUAAAAUAAAAUUUUUCAAAAAAAUUAUAAUAAUUUAAUUAUAAAGAUUUAUAGGGUCUUCUCGUCUUUUAAAAAAAUUUUAGCUUUUUUACUAAAAAAUAAAAUUUUAUAAAAAUUUUAAUUGAAACAGUUAAUAUCUCGUCCAAUCAUUCAUUCCAGCCUUCAAUUAAAAGACUAAUUAUUAUGCUACCUUUGCACAGUUAAAAUACUGCGGCCAUUUAAUAUAAAUUAUCAAUGGGCAGAUUAG
rnacentral:rRNA from 1 species